rnacentral:rRNA from 1 species
UAAUGAGGGAAGGAAAAGAAACUAACUAGGAUUUUCUUAGUAGCGGCGAGCGAAAAGAAAUUUAGUUCAGCACUGAGUUAUUUUGUUAUUUUAACAAAUAUAAGAUGCAGUGUAUGGAAUAUCUAUAAUCUAGUAUGAUAAAUUAGCAGUCCAAGUCCUUCUUAAAUGAGGCCAUUUACCCAUAGAGGGUGCCAGGCCCGUAGUGACGUUAAUGAUUACUAGAAGAUAUUUCUUAAGAGUCGUGUUGCUUGAUAGUGCAGCACAAAUUGGGUGGUAAACUCCAUCUAAAACUAAAUAUAACCAUGAGACCGAUAGCAAACAAGUACCGUGAGGGAAAGUUGAAAAGAACUCUGAAUAGAGAGUUAAAUAGUACGUGAAACUGCUUAGAGGUUAAGCCCGAUGAACCUGAAUAUCUAAUAUGAAAAAUUCAUUGUUAAUAAAACAUUAAUUAAACUUUAAUGUAAUAAUAAUGUGCAAUUUUUUCAUAUAAGGACAUUGUAAUCUGUUAAUAUGAUCGAUAAUAGAAAAAUUUAUCAGAAGUAUCAGUUUUGCAAAGUUUAUGUUUUAUUAUAUGAAAAAUUUAUUUUUUGAUAAUUAACAUAAAAUGCAUAUAUGGUUACAGAUAAAUUAUUGACAGAUUUUUAUUAUAUAUAGCGCUUACACAUACUUAUAUAUGUGUUAUAAUGAUUAAAUUAAAUUUUUUAAUUUUUUUUAUUAUAUGCGUUAAUAUGAUUAACAAUGCUAUAGAUUUAGGAUACCUUCGGGACCCGUCUUGAAACACGGACCAAGGAGUCUAACAUGUGUGCAAGUCAUUGGGUAUAUAAAACCUAAAGGCGUAAUUAACUUAACUGUUUAAUUUAAUGGGAUCAUAUAUAUAUUAUUAAUAUUAUAUAUUCCAUCCCGGGGCGUUCUAUACAGUUAUGCAUUUUAAUAUAAAUUUUUUUUUAAAGAAUAUAUUAUAUAUGCCUCUAACUAGAGCGUACCUUGAGCAUAUAUGUUGUCACCCGAAAGAUGAUGAACUAUACCUGAUCAGGUUGAAGUCAGGGGAAACCCUGAUGGAGGACCGAAGCAGUUCUGACGUGCAAAUCGAUUGUCAGAAUUGGGUAUAGGGGCGAUAGACCUAUCGAAUCAUCUAGUAGCUGGUUCCCUCCGAAGUUUCCCUCAGGAUAGCUGGUGCAUUUAAAUAUUAUUUAAAAUAAUCUUAUCUGGUAAAGCGAAUGAUUAGAGGCAUUAGGGCCGAAACGACCUUAACCUAUUCUCAAACUUUAAAUGGGUAAGAACCUCACCUUUCUUGAUAUGAAGGUUGAGGUUAUGAUAUAUUGUGCCCAGUGGGCCACUUUUGGUAAGCAGAACUGGCGCUGUGGGAUGAACCAAACGUAAUGUUAAGGCGCCAAAAUUAACAACUCAUACUGAUACCAUGAAAGGCGUUGGUUGCUUAAAACAGCAGGACGGUGGACAUGGAAGUCGUAAUCCGCUAAGGAGUGUGUAACAACUCACCUGCCGAAGCAACUAGCCCUUAAAAUGGAUGGCGCUCAAGUUGUAUGCCUAUACAUUACCGCUAAAAUAUAUGAUUUAUAAAUUCUAUAAUUUAUAAAUUUUGAAGUUUUAGUGAGUAGGAGGGUACAAUGGUGUGCGUAGAAGUGUUUGGUGUAAACCUGCAUGGAGCCGCCAUUGGUACAGAUCUUGGUGGUAGUAGCAAAUAAUCGAAUGAGACCUUGGAGGACUGAAGUGGAGAAGGGUUUCGUGUGAACAGUGGUUGAUCACGAGUUAGUCGGUCCUAAGUUCUAGGCGAAAGUCGAAAAAUUUUUUAAGUUACAAAUAUGCAAUGUAAUAUAUGAUAUACUUAAAUAUUUUUGAACGAAAGGGAAUACGGUUCCAAUUCCGUAACCUGUUGAGUAUACGUUUGUUAUUAAAAAUGGGCUUUUAUGCUCAUCCUGGUAACAGAAACAACCAUAAAGAAGCCGUCGAGAAAUAUCGAAAGAGUUUUCUUUUCUGUUUCAUAGUCGUACUACCAUGGAAGUCUUUCGAAGAGAGAUAUGGUAGAUGGACUAGAAGAGCAUGGCAUUUACUGCUGUGUCGAUAUUUUCUCCUCGGACCUUGAAAAUUUAUGGUGGGGUCACGCAAACUUCUUAACAGGCCGUACCGAUAUCCGCAGCUGGUCUCCAAGGUGAGAGUCUCUAGUCGAUAGAAUA